rnacentral:rRNA from 1 species
GACGAACGCUGGCGGCGUGCUUAACACAUGCAAGUCGAACGGUAAGGCUCUUCGGGGUACACGAGUGGCUAACGGGUGAGUAACACGUGGGUGAUCUGCCCUGCACUUCGGGAUAAGCCUGGGAAACUGGGUCUAAUACCGGAUAGGACCCUGGGAUGCAUGUCCUGGGGUGGAAAGCUUUUGCGGUGUGGGAUGGGCCCGCGGCCUGUCAGCGGGUUGGUGGGGUAAUGGCCUACGAAGGCGACGACGGAUAGCCGGCCUGAGAGGGUUACCGGUGACACUGGGACUAAGAUACGGCCCAGGCUCCUACGGGAGGCAGCAGUGGGGAAUAUUGCACAAUGGGCGCAAGCCUGAGGCAGCGACGCCGCGUGGGGGAUGACGGCCUUCGGGUUGUAAACCUCUUUCAGCUAUGACGAAGCGCAAGUGACGGUAGUAGCAGAAGAAGGACCGGCCAACUACGUGCCAGCCGCCGCCGUAA